rnacentral:rRNA from 1 species
AUUGAACGCUGGCGGAAUGCUUUACACAUGCAAGUCGAACGGCAGCACGGGGCAACCUGGUGGCGAGUGGCGAACGGGUGAGUAAUACAUCGGAACGUGCCCAAUCGUGGGGGAUAACGUAGCGAAAGUUACGCUAAUACCGCAUACGAUCUACGGAUGAAAGCGGGGGAUCGCAAGACCUCGCGCGAAUGGAGCGGCCGAUGUCAGAUUAGGUAGUUGGUGGGGGUAAAGGCUCACCAAGCCGACGAUCUGUAGCUGGUCUGAGAGGACGACCAGCCACACUGGGACUGAGACACGGCCCAGACUCCUACGGGAGGCAGCAGUGGGGAAUUUUGGACAAUGGGCGCAAGCCUGAUCCAGCCAUUCCGCGUGCAGGAUGAAGGCCUU